rnacentral:lncRNA from 1 species
CCAAAAUAAAUAGGUUUGAGUCUAUCUGAGUUUUGGGACCCAUCAUGGGGAUCCAAAAAAUAUCCAGUUAUAGACACUAUCUUAAGAAAGAGGAUGAUUCUGCUGCUUUGUAGCUGGCUGAAUUGUGCUCCUCAUUUCUUAGCAGUUUGUUUAGAGUCACAUGUUCCCGUAACUCAGGGGACACUGAUUCAGAGGAGAUUCGCUCUUGGGAGUGGGGUGCUGUAUAUGUUCAUUUCCCAAGAGUUUAGCAUCCUUCCUCCUUAACUAACUGUAUCUGGUGAGCUAUAGAAAAUUUACUGUUUCUAUUUUAACUGUUCCCAGAAAACCAUCAGAAGGUUUUAGCUAGAGUGUGUUUCUGAAUAUUCAUAGACAGUCAGCUUCUGUAUUAGAAACCACACCCACAUCUCUGCAGUAUCUGUAGCAAGAUCAAGGGCGUCCUUGGGGACUCACGGGGCAGCAUGAAAACCUGACUGCAGUCUGCCUGCACAAUGAGAUGAGGUUUUCUUUUGGACCCAGCAAGGAUCCCUGCAGUCGAGUUUAUGUACGAGUGCUGCUGAGAUAUAAUUCAGAGGAAGUUAUUGUCAAGUUGAGGAGGGACUUGCUUUUAUUGAAUGAUCAUAAAAUAUCUUAUAUAAGCAAUUGGAGACUAUCCAGUUCUUUCCGGUUGCAGAGAAACUUAUCCUUCAACUCCUGGAGACAAGAAUUUUAAAUUCAACCAAUGAAGCACAGGCAAAUAGCAUUACCUCACCCAAAGAAUGUUUCAUUGGCUGUUCACUUUCCAAGUUGCUUAAAAAUAGUUUCUAAUACUUUAACCCUUGUGUUUGUAAAUCCUACAUGAUGCAGUGUUAGAGCAAACUCUUAAUACUAAAGACAUUCUAUGUGAUAUACACAUAAUGUAUGGUUAGAUUAAAGAAACAAAUGCCACUUAUCGCCAUUAAAAACAUAUUUUUAUGCCAAUGAUCAAUUUGAUUUUUAAAAAGAAAUCUUAAUUUUCUUUUUUGCUGAAUCAUAAUAUCUGUAUUUGCAUGCUAG